UUUUUUUUAUACAAAUACCAAGUUUAUUGUGAAAUUGUACUACUGAGAUGCUAUUUCAUAUAAAGAAGAAUGGCUACUGAGAUGCUUAUUUGAUUGUUUGUUUGAACAUAAUGGAUUAUGGAUGAUUUUGUUGAAAAUGAAGCACUUUAGUGAGGAAAGCAAAACUAAAAUACAUAUUUUAAAUGAUAAAUAUUAGUGUGAUUAGAGUAUUAAUGUUGGGGAAAGAUCAAACCCUAUAUUUUGUUGAAUAUUAAAUCCCAUCCUAUACUCCCACUUGGAUUCUUCUAA
rnacentral:lncRNA from 1 species